rnacentral:rRNA from 1 species
AUUGAACGCUGGCGGCAGGCCUAACACAUGCAAGUCGAGCGAGCGGCGGACGGGUGAGUAAUGUCUGGGAAACUGGCUGAUGGAGGGGGAUAACUACUGGAAACGGUAGCUAAUACCGCAUACCAUCAGAUGUGCCCAGAUGGGAUUAGCUAGUAGGUGGGGUAACGGCUCACCUAGGCGACGAUCCCUAGCUGGUCUGAUAGGAUGAACAGCCACACUGGAACUGAGACACGGUCCAGACGCCUACGGGAGGCAGCAGUGGGGAAUAUUGCACAAUGGGCGCAAGCAUGAUGCAGCCAUGCCGCGUGUGUGAAGAAGGCCUUCGGGUGGUAAAGCACUUUCAGCGGUGAGGCGUUAAUCACAGAAGAAGCACCGGCUAACUCCGUGCCAGCAGCCGCGGUAAUUC